GACGAACGCUGGCGGCGUGCCUAAUACAUGCAAGUCGAACGCUUCUUUCCUCCCGAGUGCUUGCACUCAAUUGGAAAGAGGAGUGGCGGACGGGUGAGUAACACGUGGGUAACCUACCCAUCAGAGGGGGAUAACACUUGGAAACAGGUGCUAAUACCGCAUAACAGUUUAUGCCGCAUGGCAUAAGAGUGAAAGGCGCUUUCGGGUGUCGCUGAUUGAUGGACCCGCGGUGCAUUAGCUAGUUGGUGAGGUAACGGCUCACCAAGGCCACGAUGCAUAGCCGACCUGAGAGGGUGAUCGGCCACACUGGUACUGAGACACGGCCCAGACUCCUACGGGAGGCAGCAGUAGGGAAUCUUCGGCAAUGGACGAAAGUCUGACCGAGCAACGCCGCGUGAGUGAAGAAGGUUUUCGGAUCGUAAAACUCUGUUGUUAGAGAAGAACAAGGACGUUAGUAACUGAACGUCCCCUGACGGUAUCUAACCAGAAAGCCACGGCUAACUACGUG
rnacentral:rRNA from 1 species